UGGCUCAGGACGAACGCUGGCGGCGUGCCUAAAACAUGCAAGUCGAACGGAGUAGCAAUACUCAGUGGCGAACGGCGGAGUAAUACAUAAGCAACGUGCCCUGAAGACUGGGAUAGCGGUCCGAAAGGACCAGUAAUACCGGAUGUGGCCCGCUUGGGACAUCUCAAGUGGAUUAAAUGGUUUUUCGCUUCAGGAGCGGCUUAUGACCUAUCAGCUUGUUGGCGAGGUAACGGCUCACCAAGGCUACGACGGGUAGGGGGUCUGAGAGGAUGAUCCCCCCGAGUGGGACUGAGACACGGCCCACACACCUACGGGUGGCAGCAGUUGGGAAUCUUGCACAAUGGGGGAAACCCUGAUGCAGCGACGCCGCGUGGAGGAUGACGGAUCUAGGUCUGUAAACUCCUUUUUCAUGGAGAGACUUAGGACGGUACCAUGAGAAUAAGGACCGGCUAACUACGUGCCAGCAGCCGCGGUAAGACGUAGGGUCCAAGCGUUGUCCGGAUUUACUGGGCGUAAAGAGCGCGUAGGCGGCUCGUUAAGUGUGGUGUGAAAUCUCCAGGGCUCAACCCGGAAACUGCACCGCAUACUGGCGAGCUUGAGGAAUGCAGAGGUAACUGGAAUUCCUGGUGUAGCGGUGAAAUGCGUUGAUAUCAGGAGGAACACCCAUGGCGAAGGCAGGUUACUGGGCAUUAUCUGACGCUGAGGCGCGAAAGCGUGGGUAGCAAACAGGAUUAGAUACCCUGGUAGUCCACGCCCUAAACGAUGGAUACUAGACGUAAGAGGUAUCGACCCCUCUUGUGUCGCAGCUAACGCACUAAGUAUCCCGCCUGGGGAGUACGGCCCGCAG
rnacentral:rRNA from 1 species